GGGUGAAAGUAAUAAGGUUGGUGAGUCUCCAGCUGCUGUGGCACAUGAGAGUGAACAAAUGGUUGAAUCUGAACUUGAACCUGCAGCUGAAGCUCCUGUUGAACAUGCUAGUGAACAGGUUAUAGAACCUGAAGUUGGUCCUACAACUGAUGUCCCUAUUGAGCAUGGUAGUGAAAAGGUUGUAGAACAUGAAGGUGAGCUACCUGUUGAACCUCCAAGUGCACC
rnacentral:misc_RNA from 1 species